rnacentral:rRNA from 1 species
UAGGGAAUCUUCCACAAUGGGCGCAAGCCUGAUGGAGCAACGCCGCGUAAGUGAAGAAGGUCUUCGGAUCGUAAAACUCUGUUGUUAGAGAAGAACACGAGUGAGAGUAACUGUUCAUUCGAUGACGGUAUCUAACCAGCAAGUCACGGCUAACUACGUGCCAG